GGUCCGAUGGUGUAGUUGGUUUAUCACUUCUGUCUAACAAUUUCAGUAUUGUUCACAGGCGGUCCUCAGUUCGAACCUGGGUCGGAUCA